UCACUGCACCACCAACAGCCACCACCUUUUGUCUCCUCUGAUGUCCCAUCAGUGCCAUGCUUGGACUCGUUUUUGCUGUUUUUGGGACAGUGGUGCCAUUCCCCUCCCGUGACUGACUCCUGCGUGCAGUCCCUAAUCUGCCCAUCACCGCCGGGGCACUGUCCACAGCAUUCUGUUGAUUUCCUCCACACUGUCUAACACAACCUGAAACAACCUCAUCUGCCCACCACGUCUCAUCUGUGCCUCCCUGCCUGGAACGGAGCUGCAGGAAGGCAGCGAUGUUUGUCUGGAGGGUCCACCCCCUGGUUGCAGGUUCCCUGUUCGCUGGUGCGGGUCUAUGAGGAGGAAACACACAGAAACCAAAAGAUGGAAUCAGGCUGUCUCGGGCCACUUCCUUCCGCCACAGCUCUGCCUGGAGUGCCAGCCCCAGCACAGGUGAAUACACAGAACCAGCGCCUCCCUCCUGGAGCUUUCCUGGGGAGACCAGUGAGGGUGAACAAGGAAGCGGAUAGAGAACUCCCCGCAGCGUAAGUGCAGUGGGGACAUUUGUGGCAGGGAGUGCCUGGGGAGGGUGGUCGGGGAAGGCUGCCCCAAGGAGUUAUCAUCUGAGCAAGACCCAAAAUUGUAAGAAGUAGCACGCGGCGCUCCCAGGGAAGAGCAUGCCAGGCUGGAGGCCCUGCGGAGGGGACAAGUUCAGCAGCUUGGAGGACCAGAGAGAAAUCCAGGUCCUGCCUCCUAACUCACACAGCCCUGGUUAUAGCCUUUUGUUAUCACGUUGGGGCAGUUUAGGCCUCAGGAAGCUGAAUCUCAAGACCCUAAUCUGACUGUGGGUCAGAAGAUCCUCAUUCCAGGGUGGGUUCUGCCUCAUCCCCUAGAGGAAGAAAUGCUGCCGAGAAGCUGAGAAGAGUCUGGGCCAGGCGUGGUGGCUCAUGCCUGUAAUCCCAAGACUGGGAGCCCAAGGCGGGCAGAUCACCUGAAGUCAGGAGUUCGAGGCCAGCCUGGCCAACACGGCAAAACCCCAUCUGUACUAAAAAUACAAAAAUUAGUCGGGCAUGGUGGCACGUGCCUGUAAAACCAGCUACUGGGGGUGCUGAGCCAGGAGAAUUGCUUGAACCUGGAAGGCAGAGGUUGCAGUGAGCCGAGAUCACACCACUACACUCCAGCCUGGGUGACAAAGUGAGGCUCCGUCUCAAAAAAAAAAAAAAGAAGAAUCUGGACAGACAAGCCCUGCUGAGUUUACACCACGCCCUGUGUAUCCAGUUGCAUUUCUACAUGGUUGUCAAUCAUUCCUGUCCAACGAUGUCUCCAUCAAAGGCCCAAGAGGACAGGGUUCAGGGACCUUUCAGAGAGCUGACCACGCAGAGGCUCCUGGAGGGGCUGCCCAGGGAGGGCAUGGCAGCUCCACGCCCCUUCCCCGUACCUCGU
rnacentral:lncRNA from 1 species